rnacentral:lncRNA from 1 species
UUUUUUUUUUUUUUUUUUUGUGUUUUGGAUAUUUUAAGUGUGUAGGUUAAAAUUUUUGAUAAGUUUUUAGGAUUCCUGUAGUAAAAGUUGUUAAAAAACUAGUAUAAUUCAAACUUGCUAAAAAAUUAGACUUCCAAACAGGCCCAUAAUGUAUUAGAUGGGAUGAGAUUAGAGCUGUUGGAUAGAGAAAUAUUUGCAAAAUGCAGAUCACACUUUUUAUUUAGAAUUUGUAGAGUUGUCAAGGCUAUUAUAGUCCUUUCAUAAUACUAAGGGAAGUAAAUGUGAUUUUUCAAAUAUCAAGGGAGGUAACUGUAACUAUCAGAAAUUCCAAGGGAGGUCUAUGAAAUUUUCCCCUAUAAUUGUCAUGAGUUGGAAUGUGGACGUCUCUGACGUAUAAGUAAAUUUUGGACUUGAAUCAAACAUGACAGCAAGGAGGGCCCCAGGCCCACCACAAUAGUCAAUUCAUUCCAUCCUCAUUCAUGGCCUUACCAUUUAAGACAAGCAAUAAUAGAGUCCUCGUACCAUUGUCUGUUACAUGGCAAGUGGCUUCACCCCAGUUUGAAGUACCCACCCUGGCCCCUGCCUCCUGCCAACUGCCUGCUUUAACUCCAUUUAGUCAUUUUUACCAAUACCAGUACUGCUAACCCAUCAUUUUCGGUUUUGCUAUAUAAAAAUGCACGAAUCUGGACCCAUAAUGAUCAGUGGUCCAAACUCUAAGGCUUAUUUGCAUUUGAUCCAUCUGAAAAUCUUUACUUUUUAUUUGACUGGGAUCACGUGAAGGCCCAAAUACUCUCAGUUUCUCAUGCGUUCUAUCAAUCUAUGCCAUCUGUCCUCUGCACUCUUACGAAAGGUCUGAUUAUUAUAGAAUUCUAAUCUCCAGCACAAAGGAUGGAAGACCCUGUCGAAUCUCAACCCCAAUUGUUGCCUUUAUUAUGAUUUUUCAAACUGAUUUGAAAAGUCGAAUCCAACAUGAACAAUUGACACUCGGACUCCCCACCCCAAAAAAAAAAAAAAAGAAGCUCUGGUGCAUCCGUAGUCCUCCUGUGUUUUGAAGGAUCACAAGUUCACAACCCUGUCAAUGUUUGGCAAUCUUUGUGGAAAACUAUUUUUUUUUAUAAAGUUUUUGCAAAAUGUUAUUGUUUAUACAUUUAAUAUUCGUCGCUACACUCACAUACAUCACGUUUCAAAAAAUAUAUAUAUAUUACAAUUUUAAUUUCAACAGAAAACUUCCAACAACUCUCAAAAAUUCAAAUCAUAUAUAUGUGUCAUACAUUCAAAACUAUUGGUGUGAAAAAAAAAAAUUAUUACACCGUCGGUGUAUAAAAAGUUAAUCAUUUUAUAAUCAGGAUACAAUUAAUAAUGUUAAUAGGAAAGCGAAGGAAAAUAUGACAUGAGAGAGGCGAAAAAAAAGGAAAAAGAUAAAGGAAAGGAAAAUAAAGUGGUGGAAAACAAAAAAAAAUGAAUAAAUAAGGAGAAAAACAAAAUAAUAUAGCAAUGGCACUUUCGUUUCAAUGAGUCAAGGAGGGAAGCAAAGUGCCUAUUCUAUUUAACUGAGUUGGUAAGAUAAAGUGUAGAUGAGGAUAAAUUUCACAAGGAUUUAGUACAUCUAUCCCUGCUAGUUUUUUUUUUUUUUUUUUCAAGACUUUUCGUUGAAUUAAUUAAAUCUAAUCCCAUAUUGAACUCCAAAAGCCGGCAACUCUUGGAGCCAACCAGAGACUUAACUACCCAACCAAACCCCACCCCACAUCUAUCCCUAGUAGUGAUAAACUCACUUAGUUCACGUUUGCGUAUUGUACAUGAUUGUCAUUUGGCUUGGUUUGUCCAAGAAACUAAAUGGGAUGUUUGAGGAAGAAAACGCUAUUUAGUGAUUGAAUGCCCUUUUUAAUGAUUUUAUUUAUUUAUUGAACAAGUACAACAUAUGAAGUUGAAUUAAUUUUAUAUAUACUGAUAAUAUAUAAACAUUAUUAUGAUUAGAUGUAUGAUACAUGAGUAAAAUUUAGAUUUUAAAUUUAAAUUUAAAUGAAAUGAUGAUAGUGUACAAAGGAUUGAUUUUAUAGAGUUAACUAAUUAAUCCACUAAUUAAAGUAAACCGAACAUUUGUACUAAUUAAAAGUUUGAGGCCAAAACUUUUUAAUUUUUGGAAAUUCGUCACUGUAUUUCGACUCCGGUCCCUCGUUGUUAAAAAAGAGGCGGGACAGACGACGGGCCAAUGGCAUCGUCACAAAGUGGAGAAAAUGGGGACCCACGAAUCUGAGGUUUUUCUUAAAUUUUUGACUGUUGGUUUGGUAAAUGGAGAGUGGAGUUGGGCUUUCGAUGUGGACGAGACAAUGCUCCUGUACGGUCCACGCUCACCAAAGAGUCCAUAGGCCUGCAGCAAUGAAACGCUGCCACGUAAAGAUAGUCCAUGUGGGGUAAGCCGGGUAAAUUUUGGGAGUUUAUUCUUUCUGGAGCUUGGACUGGGUCAUCUGGACCGGUCCGAAAGUAAAGUGGGUCAUUCCUUUUUUUGGCGGGUAGCCAUAUGAUUCACUGUAGCCGACAUCAGUGACAGGCUUGCACGUGAGGGGAAUUGCAUGGUUGGACUGACUCCAAAACGUGGGACCUCUUACAAGUCAAAUCGAAAGUCCCAUCUGAUUGACCAUAGAGAGUGCCAGAUUCUCGUACGACCUUGCCUUUUUCGACUUAAAUUACACCACUCCUUGCAUCGUAUACGUGCCUUCUGAGGUGUGACGGACACGCUCUUAUCGUUUUUUUUAUUUUUCCUUUUCUUUUUAAAAGAUUUUUUCCCCUUUAGUUAUGCAAUCCUUUUCUUUCUCUAUCUCUAUCUUUUUCCGGUACCAAAUGUUUGAUUUUUUUUUUUUUUUGGGGGACGAUUAGAUGGGGCUCUUUUACCUCCAACUUUUGCACCAAAAUAUCAAUAAAUAAAUCUUAUAUACACUGUACAGCUUAUUACCAUUGGAUCCAUAAUAUAUAUAUAAAUUAAAUUUUGUAUAAUUAUCAUUUAUCCAUAUAAGAAACAUGAAUCUAAUAACAAUUAUGUAUUUUAUAUACAUGUAAUUAAUAAGUAGUACAACUUUUCUUUCCAUUUUGUCACCGGUAUGACAAAUAAGACAGCUAUAAUUGAAGAUGAGAACUUUUACCUAACUGAGCUAACUCGGUUGGCCACCAGAGGAGGGAUUUAUUAGUCCCAACAGCUAUAUUUCAAGAUGAGAACCUUUACUCAAUUGAACUCUCUAAGCUGGCCACUACUCUAGAGGGGAGAUUAGUUUCUCCCUGGGCGCGCAAGUCAGGGGGUUGAACCCCUCCUGACCACAUUUUCUCUUCAGAAUUUUCUGAAGUAUAUAUAGCCGAAUGCAGCAUGGGAUCAAUAUUUGAUAAGUCCAUCCAUAUUCCUUCUCUUUUACCAAUAUAGAAUCAAUUGUAACAAUAUUUUACUCUAAAAAUAAUGAGAACCUUUUAUUCAUCAUGCUGCAUAAAACAAAAGGAUACGAUGAUGUGUGGUAUUAUAAUGUACUGCUAAUAUAUUAACAACGAUGAUAUUGAUUUGGAUACCCUAAAACUUUGAAGGGUUUGCGUCGGUCUGACGUGAUCUAAGAUGAACAAAUUGAAGAGUUGCUCCUCUUUUAAAUAUUUCCUUUAUUGGUUUUGAAGUCCCGAAGACCGGAAAAAGAAAAGAAAAGAAAAGAAAGAUGACCAUCCUUGCUUACUCAUCUCAAAAGUUGAAUGCAAAUUCACUUAAGCUACAACCAUCUGUACGUGUUACGUGUAUCAUAUGCCUGCAUUCAUUGUGGAGGUUUUAGUUUAUCUUCACGCAGACCGUUUGUCGGUACGGAUACCAUGUUUUACGGAUUUAAUCGCGAUUGGAGAUGCCAUCGACCCAAGAAACUGUUUUAUCUGAACUUCUGAUUAAAUGUCCCUCAAAAAAAAAAAAAUUCUGAUUAAAUGUUUUUUUUUUGGGGUGUUAUUCCCUUCGGAUAAUGCACGUUUUGCUUCCAUUUUACCCCUCUCUUCAACUCUCAGCGGAGACCAACCCCCCCAAAAAAAUAAGAGCUUUUCGUGAUGAAUGCUAGCAAGAAACAGAAGGCAGGAGCCCCAUUCACCUGCCAUAAUUUUGACUAAAAGCUCGAUCAGGUUUGAAAUGACAUUUUUCUGUUUUUUUCCAGCUUUCACGGCUGUUAUACAAACUUGAAAACGAGGAAACUUUGUUCGACCUUUUGUUGGCAACUUACCGCAUUCAGCAUUUUUCCUGCCAACAGCUCAUGAGGCGCAUUAAUCAAUCAUUUGCCAAAUGUUUUUCUACUAUUCCAAUCAUCAUGUAUGCAUCCGAGAGCAAAUUCCCUCCCCGGCCCCCUAUUUUUGAGUACGUUUAACAACUGAUUUGGAAAAAUACUAAAUGCAUAGCAGAGAUGACAUCAAUUGCUAUAUAUCGAGCGUAUAAUCGCCUAUCAUCAGUUGAGGUAGAUUGGUGGAAGUUAACAACUGGAAAAUAUUCCAAUGGGAGUAUACCUUUAUAUCAUACUUCAUUUGGCACACGCAAUCACGAGUGAAUUAGAAACUGAUCAUAUCAUCCGAGUUGCUCAUUUAAACUACGUACUUGAUUAAUCCAACUCUCAAAUUCUUCAUUUUCUCCUCCUCCUUUUAGGAUUUAGGGGCAUCAAUUCAUGCACCACUUUCGUUUUUGGGUUGAAUCCACACAAUACUUGGAUGUGUGAAUGUCAUAUGUUAAAACAGAUGCAGCGGAACGGAUGAACAAACAAGAACAAGCAAGAACAAAUUUGGGGGAAAUCAGAUUUUUAUUAGGGUUCGGAAUGUAUCAGAUAUAUUGUACAGAAUGGAUAUAAGGUAUAUAUAUACAACCAAAUAACCAAAGCGAGACCCCCGAACAACUCAGCGGAGGACGAAAAUCUGAUUCAAGGCAUUUCAACAUCAUAUGAUAAUAGUCUCUUUCUUUUUGUUUUUCCAUGUUUUUUCUUUUUUUCGUUCUGUAGAAUAUAGCUUAUCAAACAUUAACUCCCAGCUUCUCAAUAAUCUGAGAAUUAUAGCAUUAGCAAAUUGCCCUGCUUUUCCAAUUGAGGAAUCAAUCUGUUGAUGAUUUUUCCCUUGGAAUGGAAAGUGACCUUAUGAUGACAAUUGACAAUUUUGAGCAAGCCAUGACAGUGGCAACUGUCUUAUCAUCAACGAGUUCCGUGUUAAACAUCAAAUUUGUGCACUGAUCUUGACUUAUUAAUCCUAGUGUCGAUCUAAACGAUCGGCGCAAUUAUGCUCGUUUAACAUUAAUUUUUUCCAUCCACGCACUUCUCAUGCAAUCAUUUCAUUUUAAGACGGAAAACAUCAAGAUUAUCUCCUUAUAUAUAUAUAUAAUGCACCAUAAUAAUUUACAUGUAUAUACAUAGUAUUAUCACAUUGGAUCUUCUGUCUCAUACCCUGUCUCACAUCAUAUCCCACUCCUUCCAGUCCUACCAAGCGUCCCUUAGUAAACCAAACCCUGAAACAACCUAACUUAGACCACGUUAAGUUAAUUGAUUAACAAAAUCUGUAUAACCAAAAUCGAUUAAAAAAAAUUCUUCUCACAAAAUCAUGAUUUAUCAAAGGUAAAACAAAGCCUAAACCUUAACAAGCUUUGUCCUCUCGUCAUCAUCUCCACCUUCAUGUUUACUAAGGAUACUUGACAGGAUUAGAAAGAGUGAAAUAGGAUAUGAGACAGGGUGUGGCACGAUAGACAGAUCCGUUGCGUAGUAUUAUGUUCUCCGAUGAAUAAUAUGUAUGUAAUUCGGUUUUUACUGAAAUUCAAAGACACAAAUACCAUGACUAAUCUAAUGCAGUGGUCCAAUCCAAUCACGCGUGGUAGCUCUAUAACGUUGAAUCCAAACCUAACUCGGAAGACUUGUAGUCUUUCAGGUCAAAAUUCAUCUUCCCUAGCGAAGAGUUUUGAAAAAACGAUGUACUCUUGGCAUUUCUAUUUUGGAGCAGUUAAUUAGCGGGUGUAUUUGCGCCCUAAUAAGUUUGAGGUGGCCUAUGAUCAAAGACUACAUCUCAAAUAUUAGGGUGACUUUUCUUUAUUCGGGCAUCGGCCGACGGCCAGCCCGGCAUAGGUUACGGCCAACCAAGUCAUGCACCUUUCUCUUACACCAUGUUCAUUCCUUUUUUCCUAGGGCAAAAAAAGAAAAAGAAAAAGAAAACAGAAUUUGUUGAUUGAUGUUAUGCAGGAGAUAUGUACAUACUCACGCUGUAUAUAGAGCGUACUGUAAAUACGUGGAACGGCAUCAGAAUUUUGAUCACAUCUAAAUGUACGCAAUUGUGAGAACUAAGAAAGUUUAGCAAAUGUGUACGCGUAAAUCCGUGUGUAUUUGUACGUCUUUAUGUCAGUAAAAUCAGAAUUAGCGCAAAUGACAGAGCAGAGUGACGGGCCCAGCAUCAGAAACUGCAUGAAAUCAUAUAGUACGAGACAGCAUAUAUAUAUAUAUGGAAGCAUGAUUCUUGCAUCAGAUCGGAUCACGUCCAAAGAAGCCAAGCGAUAAGUAUGGAAAAAUUAACAUCCUAAGCAUUUAACAGAUCAUUGUUCAGGCGAAAGUGCUGCUAACUACAAGAACACGUAACGGAAGACUCGCAAACUCACACAGUUGUUGAGAAGUUCUACAUCAGGCAUCAGCUUCCGCUAAAUUGAACGAACCUGGCUUACUUUUACCAAUUUACCGCUUGCGUGUAACAGAAGAUACUGUUUGCACCAGCUUCCGUUCCGCAUGGUAACCAAGUAUGUAUAUGUAUAUAUUUGAGCUACUAUCAAAUACGGAGUACCAAUCACCAGAUAUAGGAUUAAAGCCAAACAGCUUUAGUACUUGCCCGCAUAUAUCGACGUAUCUACUACCCAAAACUAUGCUCAAUUGUGAAUUUGAUAUAGUGAUAUGCACAUAUCUAGGUGUAAUUCUGAACAGUGUGUGAGAGAGAUCAGCUUCCAGGAAUAUGGACCAAAGAUAUACUUGUAUAAUGGGGAAAACCAAAAUUGACUAUUUCCCGAAUGUCUCAAGUCAACCCCCCCCAAAAAAAAUUUUAACAUUAUUGAAAACUUAACCUAAAUCCAUUAAAUCCCAAAAUUCAGCCACUGUCAAGAAUAGGGUUGCGUCAAAUUUUCUUGGUGUGACAUUUUCUUGUAUGCUUCUUCUUGGGAUGCGCCACUGAUUGAUUGCAUAGGAUGCAUCUUUAACUAAAGUCAUCUUAAGGUGAAUCCGGAAUGAUUAGUGGUGCUAAUUAUAUAUCCCUCAUUGGUCAAGGUGUACAUGCGUUUCACACCCCACUAAUAUUAUAUAGCUUGAAAACAAGAUAUCCAAUGAGAAAUUUCAACGAGGAACAUGAACACAAUGAAUCAUGCAUCAUCUUUAUAGCUUUCAGCCAUGGAAUAGAAGGGUAAUUGUACUCCCUUUAGGCCACACGUACUGUGAAAAUACCCCAAGCGACGAACUAACGACACCUGAUCCUGUUCCAUCCUACAUGCUGUCGGGCAAAAGUUAAUGCUUAGUAAUAAUCAUGAAUCACUCCAACUGAAGGCGUUCAGAAACCUAUUUAUUUGCAUGAAGAAUGAUAAUCAGGCAAACACUAUUUGUUCAUCCAUACUUAAAGCCAUCGUUGGCUGCAGUAUAAACUUCGGUGAAGGCAAUGCUUUAUUUAGCCCGCAUAAAAUUGUGUAUAGUUUAGCAAAAGGGUGGAUGGAUCGUAUUCCACAUUUGCUCAACCAUUAUUAAUGUGCUUCUGAAAAAAACAAAUCCAUACCUUUCACCUCAGUUUGCGUUCAUGUAAGUUUAACUUAGUUCCGUUAAGUAAGCUCAAAAGAAAACUUCUGUUUAGUAAACGUUAAAUGUGUUGUGACCUUUUGGGAUUGAAGAAUGAUUUGGCAAAUGUUACUAUUUCCAACAUAAAGACCUGAACAUAAAAAAGAAGAAAGACGGCUAAUUUAUUUAUAACGUCAUCAGUAUUGAAAUCCAACUUGCAACUUGCAAGGGCAUAUGAAGACAUCUUGAAAUCACAUUUGUCUGCCAAUUUCAUCUAUUCUAGCAAUGAAAUGACAGCACUAUGAAUGAGCAAAUUAAUUAAUCAUAUUAAUCAGAAAGUCACAGGCGCGCGCUUAAGUAUUAGUUAGGGGAAUUCAUUAAUUUGCAUGAGCUCAAUGGACAUGGAAAAGAAGCCCAACAGUAGGAGGUAAAAGUUAUACUCGUAGAUCUAUUGUGUAAAAAUCAAUUCCUUUCAACAAGAGCAACAAUUAUCAGGAAGUAAAGCUGUAAAAGUAGGAGGACAGAAGAAAAAGGGAAAGUGAUCAGAUGGUGAGAUUUUACUUAGAAAUUUCUCAUACACAUCAGGGGCUAUCAUCUGGCCAACAAUCCCUAAGUUCACAAGACCACGCCAGCUUUAAUAGCAUCCAAAACUGAACCGUCAAUUGUCACAAAACCAACAGAAUUAGACACUGAAAUGAUGAUUAGAUGAAACAAACUUUUGGUUGGGAAACUACACGAUGGAAUGCAUCUAUAUAUGCUAGAGUUGCACAUGGAACAUGAGUCAUUACUGCAAGUAGUAGUACAUUAACUCCACCUUUUAGCAGUACGACUAUUACUAGGCUUAUACUAUAUAUAAUAGUGCUUCUAACGCUGCUACUGUUUGCAUCAAAAGCAGAAUAAAUAAAAGUUGCUCCCAGGUGGAAGCAAUAUAUUGCUCAUUCAUCUGGUCUGGUGCAUGCCCCCAGCUGAAUAAACAGUAGUAGUAGUCGGUAACAGUUUCGCAGUUGAUCGAAUCCCACUUUAGAAGAAGUAAAAUCUAACUAACCCUAGUGCAGUACUACUCGUAAAGCCACAACAUUCGACAAAAGAUCCACCAAAAAAUCAACCAAGAUUGGGAAGACCCAGCACGGCUCUAAGGCAUUAAUUAAUCUUCCAGAAAAACUUUAAGUAAAAACUUAGUUGAUAUGAAGUAGUUAAGCAUCAUGAUCACCUGAUGCUGCGGGUGCUGCUGAUCCUGCUCCCGCUCCUGCUGCUGCAGACAAGUGCUGUUGCGAGGGGCGCUUGCGCUUCUUCUUCUCAUAGCUUAUCCCUCUGGCUUUGGACUGCAGAUCACGAACUUCGCGCAAGUAGAGCCUCACAGCUCGAGCUCCGAAAGGGUUUGCUUCAGGCCUGCCUCCAUUUUCUUCGUAUGCAGCCCGGAGGCGGCCAAUGAGGGCAUCAAGGCUUCCCCAAGCUUGUCGAAGUGGGCAAGGGCAAGGCGCUGGAGGGUUGGGAUGCCCGUAGAAGGGACAGAUUGGGGUAUGGACUUUGGUUUUCCCAAACUGGUCCAGGUAGCGAAGGAAUUCAAGGACAUGAGCUCCGCUGCAGCGAGAAAGCGCGAGGGGAGGCCUGUGGUUUUUGAGAUAUUGCCCAAAAGUGUUCCAGUCCCUGCGCUUCUGAUUCUCGUAUCGGCUGGGAGUGGAAGCAGCAGAUGAGGAUGUUCCUGCAGAUGUGCUGUUGUUGCUGUUGCCCGUGGCGUUCUCAGACUGGGAUGUUUCUAUAUCUGCAAAUGGAUCCAUCAUCAUCAGAUAAAGAUUUACCACUACUGUUACUUAUUGGCUAGCUGCGGCUGGCUUCAAGAUGAAAAUCUGUGGCUUGUGACCGUUUUAUUCCACUUAUGUUUGUAUUUGACUGGAAUUAAACUAGGGUUUCAUUUGGUAGCUGCAGUGUAACAAAGUAGGAGAGAGGGUGGAGAAAACUCAUAUAUGGGCUGCAAAAUGCAAGAUUCAGGUGCGGGGAAGGAGAUGAUACAUGUUUUUUUAAUUAAAAUUUUCUAAAUGAUGAUAUAUAUAUAUAUAUAGAGCAGGCUGCUGCUGCAGCAGCAGUGGAUGAGUAUAUAAAAGGGAAUAUUAGUAAAUUGAAAGGAGAAAGGGAAAGCCAGAGAAAUAAAGAAAUCUUUCUUCUUUUUUUGGUGUGCUGUUUGGGGCCGGGGGGGUGGGUGUGGGGGGAGGGAGGGCCUUGUUUAGUGAAUGAUGUAUCAGAAGUUUUCCAUAUUUGUGUCUGAGGAUGGGGACUAAAGGGAGAGAGAAAAGAGGAGCAGCAAAAGUAGCAGAGUCUUGAAGCUGAGAUUAACGUAUGUCGCUGGCUUUUUCCUAUCACUGGAUCAUCUGUUGUUGUGUUGUAUUGUAUGAUGAUGAAUAGCAAUAAUAUUGAUGAGAUUGAUGGGAGAGGAGUCGGAUAUGGGUGAUGGGGAGGGGCUUUUUUUUGUGUGUUGGGAGGGGGGGGGGGCGAUUCGUAUGGAAUUGAGUGGAGAGUUUCUUUGUUUGAGCAGUACUAUAAAAUCUUGAAUGACUGUAAUGCUGUGGAUUUAGUAGCUUUCUUUUCUGAAAAUGUUAAGCCCGCAGAGCUUUUUCCCAAAAUGGGGGAAGCAACUGACGCUUCUACUAACUAUCUCCUAUUAAAUUGAAUAGUUGUGAUUGGCAGAGAGAGAGAGAGAGAAGGAGAUGAAAUUCUUGUGUCUUAGAUUAGGGCUCUUGUGGCAAUAUAAAGAGGUAGAGAGUAGAGACAGUGGGUUGAGAUGGAGACAGGAAAAAGUUUAAAGAAAGAACUGGGGGCAAUAGAGUAAAAAACCUUAGCACUCCCUAGAUAAGGGCCAGGGGUGCAACAUGACUUUGCCUCUUCAUCCACAGGGAAAGUGAGAAUUGAAUGUCAGUUCCAUGUGAAAUGUUGAAAAUGCCCUUUUGCCAUCUUCAUUUCUCUUCUAGUUAAAGUGUGUGAAUUUCGUCAUUAAAGAGGCUGGCUGUGGCUCAUUGGCUUCCCCUUUGUCGCAAUAGUACCAAGUGAAGCAAACUAACCAGUGUACACUUUUCUCCCUUUGCUCCUCUAUAAGAAAUGCACUCUGUAGCCCGGUAGACCAGAGAAUGCAGAAACAGCCAGCAUUUAGCUGCUAGCAUGAUCAGUCGUAUGCCAGAUUUCUGAACGGUGGUUAAUUCUAAAUUUGGUGGUACUUAGUUUCAACUCGAUUUUUGUUCCUGAAUCUUCAUCCCUUCUUAAGAGAACCCAAAAAUUCAUAAUUGAGCAACGAAUGCAACCCCCCCUAACCAGACCAAAUCAGCUGGUAAAACGCGAAAAGAAGAUGUUUGACUUUCAUUUCUGCCAAGUUUUCGACUCUUUGUAUGAAUAAAUGCUCAAUUUAACUGGUAUUUACCUGCCAAAAAAAUCUACUAGCAUUUAUCUUCUUUCUUUUUUUUUUGUGGUGUGUAUGGGGGGGGGGGGGGUUUUUUUUUUUUUUUUUUUUUUUGGGGGGGGUGUGGGGGGAGGGAGGGCCUUGUUUAGUGAAUGAUGUAUCAGAAGUUUUCCAUAUUUGUGUCUGAGGAUGGGGACUAAAGGGAGAGAGAAAAGAGGAGCAGCAAAAGAAGCAGAGUCUUGAAGCUGAGAUUAACGUAUGUCGCUGGCUUUUUCCUAUCACUGGAUCAUCUGUUGUUGUGUUGUAUUGUAUGAUGAUGAAUAGCAAUAAUAUUGAUGAGAUUGAUGGGAGAGGAGUCGGAUAUGGGUGCUGGGGAGGGGCUUUUUUUUGUGUGUUGGGGGGGGGGGGGGGGAGUGAUUCGUAUGGAAUUGAGUGGAGAGUUUCUUUGUUUGAGCAGUACUAUAAAAUCUUGGAUGACUGUAAUGCUGUGGAUUUAGUAGCUUUCUUUUCUGAAAAUGUUAAGCCCGCAGAGCUUUUUCCCAAAAUGGGGGAAGCAACUGACGCUUCUACUAACUAUCUCCUAUUAAAUUGAAUAGUUGUGAUUGGCAGAGAGAGAGAGAAGGAGAUGAAAUUCUUGUGUCUUAGAUUAGGGCUCUUGUGGCAAUAUAAAGAGGUAGAGAGUAGAGACAGUGGGUUGAGAUGGAGACAGGAAAAAGUUUAAAGAAAGAACUGGGGGCAAUAGAGUAAAAAACCUUAGCACUCUCCAGAUAAGGGCCAGGGGUGCAGCAUGACUUUCCCUCUUCAUCCACAGGGAAAGUGAGAAUUGAAUGUCAGUUCCAUGUGAAAUGUUGAAAAUGCCCUUUUGCCAUCUUCAUUUCUCUUCUAGUUAAAGUGUGUGAAUUUCGUCAUUAAAGAGGCUGGCUGAGGCUGCAAUAGUACCAAGUGAAGCAAACUAACCAGUGUACACUUUUCUCCCUUUGCUCCUCUAUAAGAAAUGCACUCUGUAGCCCGGUAGACCAGAGAAUGCAGAAACUGCCAGCAUUUAGCUGCUAGCAUGAUCAGUCGUAUGCCAGAUUUCUGAACGGUGGUUAAUUCUAAAUUUGGUGGUACUUACUUGAAAGGAGAAAGGGAAAGCCAAAGAAAUAAAGAAAUCUUUCUUCUUUUUUUGGUGUGCUGUUUGGGGCAGGGGGGGGUGUGGGGGGAGGGAGGGCCUUGUUUAGUGAAUGAUGUAUCAGAAGUUUUCCAUAUUUGUGUCUGAGGAUGGGGACUAAAGGGAGAGAGAAAAGAGGAGCAGCAAAAGAAGCAGAGUCUUGAAGCUGAGAUUAACGUAUGUCGCUGGCUUUUUCCUAUCACUGGAUCAUCUGUUGUUGUGUUGUAUUGUAUGAUGAUGAAUAGCAAUAAUAUUGAUGAGAUUGAUGGGAGAGGAGUCGGAUAUGGGUGCUGGGGAGGGGCUUUUUUUUGUGUGUUGGGGGGGGGGGGGGGGAGUGAUUCGUAUGGAAUUGAGUGGAGAGUUUCUUUGUUUGAGCAGUACUAUAAAAUCUUGGAUGACUGUAAUGCUGUGGAUUUAGUAGCUUUCUUUUCUGAAAAUGUUAAGCCCGCAGAGCUUUUUCCCAAAAUGGGGGAAGCAACUGACGCUUCUACUAACUAUCUCCUAUUAAAUUGAAUAGUUGUGAUUGGCAGAGAGAGAGAGAAGGAGAUGAAAUUCUUGUGUCUUAGAUUAGGGCUCUUGUGGCAAUAUAAAGAGGUAGAGAGUAGAGACAGUGGGUUGAGAUGGAGACAGGAAAAAGUUUAAAGAAAGAACUGGGGGCAAUAGAGUAAAAAACCUUAGCACUCUCCAGAUAAGGGCCAGGGGUGCAGCAUGACUUUCCCUCUUCAUCCACAGGGAAAGUGAGAAUUGAAUGUCAGUUCCAUGUGAAAUGUUGAAAAUGCCCUUUUGCCAUCUUCAUUUCUCUUCUAGUUAAAGUGUGUGAAUUUCGUCAUUAAAGAGGCUGGCUGAGGCUGCAAUAGUACCAAGUGAAGCAAACUAACCAGUGUACACUUUUCUCCCUUUGCUCCUCUAUAAGAAAUGCACUCUGUAGCCCGGUAGACCAGAGAAUGCAGAAACUGCCAGCAUUUAGCUGCUAGCAUGAUCAGUCGUAUGCCAGAUUUCUGAACGGUGGUUAAUUCUAAAUUUGGUGGUACUUACUUUCAACUCGAUUUUUGUUCCUGAAUCGAUCUUCAUCCCUUCUUAAGAGAACCCAAAAAUUCAUAAUUGAGCAACGAAUGCAACCCCCACUAACCAGACCAAAUCAGCUGGUAAAACGCGAAAAGAAGAUGUUUGACUCUCAUUUCUGCCAAGUUUUCGACUUUUUUGUAUGAAUAAAUGCUCAAUUUAACUGGUAUUUACCUGCCAAAAAAAUCUACUAGCAUUUAUCUUCUUUCUUUUUUUUUUUUUUUGUGUUAUUACUUGGAGGAUAUACAUUGUAAAUAAGAUUCAAAACUCUUGACGUCCAACAUUUCAGAGCAAGAAUCUCUUUUGCGUGCGUACGGCUAGUGGUGACUUCAUUUGAGAGCACUUACAGGUUAAACAUAGAGGCACAAGAUUUUAAGAGCAUUAAUACCAAAAGAAUUAGCAUAUGUUUUUUGACAAGGAGGUUGGGAUCUUUUUCUUUUAAAUGUUACAUAUUUCUUGAAAAAGCUAUCUAUAAACAAUUUUGGCUAUCUGUUCGGAGGGAGGAGAAAUACACAGAUUUAGAAAAGUUGAUUUUUUUUUUUUCUAGAACAUAAUUUGUUGGCGUAUUAAUUAGUUCAUUAGGGUUGAAUAAUUGAUGCACUGCAUUGAGAUACUGUGAAAUUUAGGGUCCCAAAUAAAGUGGAAUCCUGCUGCAACAUUAGUGACAUGUUCUGCUGUUGGUUUGUGCAACAAGAAAUUUCUCAAACUUUUCACCCAUUUAAACCCAAGGCAGAUUAGUGACAUGAGAAUCAGGAUACUGCCUAUACUAGAAGACUUGAGUUAAACAUGUUUGACCAAAAGCAUAUACUGAAAACAAAUCCAACCCAUCAAAGAUGAGCGUUACUUUAAUUUGGCUUCCAAUAGAUCUGUUCUGAGUAAACUGCUUAUUAUUCUGAGGAAAAAUAAAUAAAUGCACAUAGUUACAGAGACUGUGAGUAAAAAAGAGAGCUGACGGAAAUUUUUUUUUUUUUUGGGUAAGUAGCAAUAAGUAUUUAAUUGAAGUGAAACCUAUUUUUUGGAACGAUAUCUCAAUAUUCGGACUCUCAUCACUUACAAUGCAAGAGUGCUUUUCCCCCUUUCCCUUGUAGAGAUUGUUGUGAUAGCUAGUAAGAUGAUCGAAGUGAGAAAAUUAUAUACAUGUGUUGCAUAUAUACUUUACCUUAUUAGAACUAUUACAUAUGUACUUUACCUUAUCAGAAGUAUGGCUCCCCUAUGAGAUUGGAAGAGAAAAUAUAGAAUAAGGAGUAUAUGAAUUCUUUUCCAUGUUGUUUGGAGUUCUGGAAAUAAAUACAACAAUUUUAUGCUUACUAACAAAUGAACUAUACAAGCAUUUAGGUUCGUUUUGUCUGCAUUUCUCUCCACGUCUUUGCUAUGUUUCUUUUUCCCUUUCUCUCUUUUUCUUUUUCAUUUUUCCCGACGAAACUUUCCGUUGGGACCAAAAACUUCAAGUUUUCUUUAUGUUUUUUUAAAGUCCUCCCACUUCUUCUCACGGCCUUCCCCUCCUCAACUCGUAGACACAGAAUUCGAAUUCUGAAUCUGAUAGUGAAGAAGAUUCUAAAAAUCCUUCUCUAAUUAUUAGCCCGACACUAAUGAUUUCAUACUCUGCCCGCGCUUAUUCUCUUCUUAAGCACAUGUUACAGAGAUUUCAGAACCCAAAACACAACAAAAGAAAAAGGAAAAAACUGCAUCUAGAAUGUAAUUUCACAAUUAACAAGCUUCAAAAAAGAAUGAUCCUAGUAAUUGUCAAGUACUUUCAACUAAUUGAUUGGGAAGUUUCCGAAGUGGUUUCUACAUACCAAUGAUGCAGGCAGGAAAAGUAAGGUAUACAAUCGUUGAGUACAACUUGAAUCCUAACUUCCCAUUCAAGGAUCCAUUUUUGUUUGCAGAACACACCUUACAUUGAGGCAAAACCAUGAUAUAAUGAAUUUUAGGGAAUAUGAAGCUCCGAAUAGUAACAAAUACUGGGAUCAAGCACAUGGAUGUCAAACAGCAAGACGAAAGUGUACUUAAUUACUAUACCUUGGUAUAUGAACACGGCCUUUGAUUGAUGGCUUCUCGAGCAAAGAAAUUAUCUGGUUUUCGUAGCCUGAGGGACAGAGUCACGGAGAUAUAGUUCAUCUCCACACUAAUAACGUACAAGUUCCGAGUAUUAAAAAUAACCUAAAUGGUUGGGUUUACUGCACCUUUUGGUCGGUAAUAAACCAAAGUUUCCGAAAGUAGGUACUUUUCAGAAAUCAUGUGUGUAGCUAUUCCUGGAAAAACCCCAGUGGAAGACAGAAGUUCCAGGAAGCAAAUAUGGCUAAACACCUCAUGAUUAUUAUUAGUAUUUCUUUUUGGGUUACGAAAGACCUAAUGAUCGAUGCUCCAGCAAUUAGUGUCCUUCUCACUUGGUGUUUUCCAAGCUUAGAAUUGUUAAUCAUUGUUUAUGGUAUAGAAAGGGUUAAUUGUACUUUAACACCCUUAAACUAACAUCCUUGUUGCUGUUCACCCCUCUGAAGCGAAUGAAUAGACGUUCUGCCCUAUUGAAAGCUUCCACGGGAUAAAUAAAUACCAAAAAAAAAAAAAAAAGUUAUGCAAGUUCUUUUUGGACAACAUGCCUUAAAAAGAGGAUUUCCAGACAAAUAUCAUGCUAAGUACCAAACUGAUUUCAUUUAUAAUGACUUCACACAAUCUUAGACUUUCUUUUAAGAGAACAGCGAAGGGCUUUUGAUACUUGCGAGAGUGGAAGCCAAAUGGAUUUGGAAAUGAUGACUAGUAGCUUGGAUAGACAGCUUGCCCUUGCGAAGUUGGUUUAUCUAAGCACAGAAGUAGGUAGUACUAUAACACGAUUCAUUUAGGGAUGUCAGCUUAGGUGGUAUAACGAAAUUCUCUUGAGCAUGUUGUCGACCCAUUCUGAUUUCUAUAAGAGCCUAAUCUUUUGAAAAGCUAAAAUCAAAAUCAAAAGGCAGGUAUCUUGUAAAUUUUGAUUUUUUUUUUUUAGUAUUAAAGAAAAACAAAAGUUGAAAGAAAAACCAGCUAAGAAUAUAUAUAUAUAUAUAUAUAUCCAAUAAGAAAUUUUACAGGGUCAGAAACUAAGAACAAAUGCAAAAGAUCAGCUAAGAACAUGCCUUGUAUCCAUAACAAUCAAAAUCCCCUUCAACCGAGAAAUUAGGGAAAGCAUGAAAUAAAAGUGUGUAUUUUGGCCAUGUUCCAUUUUUUUUUUUUUUCUUCUUCUUCUCUAGGUCGACUACUACUUACAUUAUAUUGCGAUGAUAGCUUUUACGUUAGUUCUUUUGCUUGUGUAAUUGAUUACCAGUAUUUACAACCUAGACCUAGAGGGAUCCUCAAGUCGACUACUAGUUUUUAUGGAUCUUGCCCUUUUUCCUUGGUCUAAAACAAUGCAUAUUAAUAGCAGGCAAAGAACACUGCUUUUUGGGGCAGCUUGAGAAUCUGUUUAAAAAACGAAAUUUGGUCGGCUUUCUUUCUGUAUAUACAACAACAACAAAAAAAAAAAAAAAAAAGAAGAAGAAAUCAUAAGCCUUAACAACCCAAAAUUUGGUCUCCAAAAUUCAACAAAGUCUCUCGACUUCAUUGUAUUUCCGAUAAAAGUAUUCAAUCUCCUAUUGAGAGAUGUCUUUAAACAAAAAUAAAAAAAAAAAUGUAAUUGCCUAGCUAGCACAGACAAUAAAAAGACCUUCUAUGAAACACCCCAUGUGUAAUUUACGAGGCAUGUCAAGACCAAGACAUCCGAAUUUGACUGAUCAAAGAAAAGAAUGGUGGCAAACAUUCAUUUCUGAUCUCUUUUGCCGGCCGGUGUCAUGAACUGGAUGGAUAGUCUGGAUGGACCUGCUCAAAUGGUUUGGAGUUCCAAACACACUGUUAGUAUUUCAACGUGGAGUUGUGGGAGAGUUCAAGGUAACAUUGAUGUUCCGUGUCUCGUGUCGAUGCCUCGGUUUCAAGUUCAACAUAGUACAGUGGAAAAUCAAGAAAAACACAAGAAAGAAAGAAUAAUGUGUCUUCCCAUUCCUAUCCUUUCCCUUGUGGAACGUACCACGGGAUAUAUAUUUCCACUCACUCAGUGUUAAUGAAAUGGGACAGUACUGCCCCCAUUAUGACCUUCCAACACUUGCACCGACUUCUCCAAAUCAGUGUCCGGGCAAACUACCCCAACUUUCUUGUGUUCUUUGUUCGAAUCUGAAUGAAGUGAAGCUCUUCAAAUGUGCUGUGACGAGGUUGAUCUGUCCCAGCACAAAUAUCCUAGCUGAUUUUUUGCUCACGCAGCGGAUGUGCAUCUUGUCUGAGUGGCAAGUAUUUGAUCUUCUUGAUUUGCAGUGACAGUUCUACAUUAUGAGGGGAAAAAAUAAUCUCUUUAUUGCUUCAUAAAUAUGUUUUGUUUUUCAAUCAACUUUUUACUUUUAAUCACUUCUUUAUAUACAUGCAGCAUAUCACGAAAGAAAGCUUUAGCAUGACUCUAAAAAAAAAAAGAUCCAGAUGACCUUUGAUCCAAUGGAUUUUUUUUUGUUUAUUGGUUUGCUUGUGACCUGUGUUUCCCGAGACUCAGUUAAACCUGAUUAGCUGGCAAAGCUCUUUAGCAAAGCAAUGGUUGAUGCGCCACAAAGCAAUAAUCAGUUUCGUAAUGUCGAGAAUAAUUAAAAAAUUAACCUACUUUGUUGUGCUGCUGGGCUUGUGCAUGCAUGGGUUGGCAUCCAUGAUUUGAUUUCAUCCGUAUUCGCAUUCCCCGCAAAGGUUUUCUUCCAAACAAAACAUUCCCGAAAGAGCCUGCAAAUGAAAGCCCCUCCUCAAUCUUUCAUACCAAAGAUAAACAAGGGACCACCCACAUUUCCAAAACAAGUAGAUUGACCAAUGUGGAGUUCCCUUAGAACGAAGAGAUAAUUCCCUCCCCAUCAGAGAUUGAUGGAUCUCUUAUUGCUGCUGCCUCCAACCACACCUGACACCCAAAUUUUCUGGAAACGCCUUUUCUCAUCAGUAUUGAUUGAGCACUUUUUUUUUUUUUUUUUUUAAAAAAAAAAAAUAUCAUGGUCAGCGAUUCCCUGAAAUUGGCCUAGCAAUCCAACCGCGCAACUUUUUAAUUUGAAGUUGGAUAUAUGAGCUAAACUGUGAAAUGCAAGUUUCAAUCAUCAGUGAUAAUGGCGUUUGUUGUUUUUACUCUUUCUUUAAUUCCUGUCUUCAACAAGUGCCCGCCGCUUCCUUUGCUCAGGGAGGAAGAGGGCAAAAAAGAAGAAAAGAAGGGAAUAUAAAUAUAUAGAGCACCUACAAACUAGUAUCCAAUUAAUUAAUGUAUUUAAUAAGUCUUGCAUGGCAUGGCAGACAGGGCGCUAAAUGGUGGAUGGGCGGAAGCACUCCAGCGAAGACCCUGCAGUUAUGAGUCCGUAUCCGUACGAUUUAGGUUCCCUGCUUCCUAGGAAAUAGAUAGGAUUUUGAUGCAAGUGUCAAUAAUCUCCAAACUACAACGUAACCAAAACACACCUCUUAUGUCUUACUUUUUAUUAACACAAAUGCACUACUUUUUCUAAUUCUAAGCCGCUUUUGUUGAACAAAGGUGCACAUUGCUGCCAAUCUGAGACAUCUAUUUUUGAACUUCGCUCCCUACUCUUGGAUGCUUCAAAGUAGUAUCAUGUUUGAAAGAGCACUAAAGUUGAUGCCUUUUACAUUUAUUCUGCGGACCAAACAAACAAAAAAAAGCUUUUUUUUUUUGGUGUGGGGGGGGGGGGGGGGGUUGGGGUUGUGCCCUCACUCUUUAGCCUCCUCCACAGCCAAAAAAAAAUCAAUGAUACACUACGAAAUCCAGUUGUAAGCAAUCAAAGAAACGAAAAGGAUUUUAGCCGCUAAGAAGCGGUGCCGCCCUGAUCAGACACCCCAUCUACACCAAGAGCAGAGAACCUCAAAUUCAUUUUGCAUCAUGGAAGAUGAUAUUAACAGGAGUUGAAGAAUAUAUACACAUAUACAUGCAAUACUCCGAUAGAGUCCGAAGUAACUACCACAAGAGAAAGCAAUAGCGGGAACUGCCAGUAUUAAAAGCUACAAAACGGAUGAUCUACUCUCAUUUGCAGGCCAAGUGAACAUGACUACCUCACAAAUUGCACUAAGUAAACAGCUAAAAGAACUUCUAGAUA